UGUGAUGCCCACCAAGAAUGUGCAUGGGUGUAUUGUUGUGUGCAUAUUCAUUUCUCUGUAUGAAUAUGCAUAUACAUGCAUGCACACAGAUGCACACACAGGAAUGGCACUCACAUAUC
rnacentral:miRNA from 1 species